rnacentral:rRNA from 1 species
UGAGGAAUAUUGGUCAAUGGGCGGAAGCCUGAACCAGCCAUGCCGCGUGCAGGACGACGGCCCUACGGGUUGUAAACUGCUUUUCCGGGGGGAGAAUAACCCCCUGCGGGGGGGAUGCCGGUACCCCGGGAAUAAGGAUCGGCUAACUCCGUGCCAGCAGCCGCGGUAAUACGGAGGAUCCUAGCGUUAUCCGGAUUUACUGGGUUUAAAGGGUGCGUAGGCGGACCCCUAAGUCCGCGGUGAAAGUCUGCGGCUCAACCGUAGGAUUGCCGUGGAUACUGGGGGUCUUGGAUUCGGUCGGGGCGGGCGGAAUGCGUGGUGUAGCGGUGAAAUGCAUAGAUAUCACGCAGAACGCCGAUAGCGAAGGCAGCUCGCCGGGCCGACAUCGACGCUGAGGCA